ensembl:lncRNA
AUGGGGAAAACUCUCUGGUGGAGCCUUUUGCUCAUCUUUGCUCCAGCUGGACAGCUUGGAGAAGCCGAAAUAGCAGGCGACAUAUGCCGCUUCUGGUCCUAUGGGGCAGGUGCCUCUUCUGCCACUGUCUUCACUUUCCAGUGUCCCGACCAAAAUGAUGAAGCGGAUGCCAGGUUUUGCUGUGGGACUUGCGCUGCUCCCUACUGCUGCUCCUCCAAGGAGUUCCGCCUGGACCAGAAGCAGUGUGUGGGCAGUGAACAGCGAAAGGUGGCCACCAGAAGCCUAGUGGGCAACCAAGGCCUGAGGAAAGCUCAAGGAGAGAGAGGUGCCCAAGCCAGAGGGGUGGUGGGAGUAACCCAGGCCAACCAAAUAGGACAGACCACCCAAGUGGAAGAGACUACCCAGACAGGAUGGACCACCCAAGCCAACUCCACCAUGGACUUGGUGUUGACCACCCCAUCUAUGGAGGAAGACCUACCAGAAUGGAUGAAGAUGCUGUCCAUUCUGCUUGGGAUUGCCGUUGCCAUUGCUUUCAUCUGGCUCACCUGCCGCUUAUGUGCCGCAUGCCGGGACAACCCCUGCCUGGUGCUCCUGGUGCAGAACAUGUUAGAGCAGGAUUCGCGUCCUCCAAGUCCAACGCCGUCUGACGACAGGGCUCCUCCUUCUCCUCCUCAUCCUUCUCCGCGCAUCAGCACCAGGCCUCCACCUCGCAUCAGGAACAGGCCUCUGCCUCGUGUCAUCAACAUGCCUCCUCUUCCUUUUGAUGACCCUCCACCUUAUCGUGAGGAUAACCCGCCACCCUAUAGCCUUGAUGAUCCCUUCAGUCUGCUGGCCCGUUCUUCUUCUGAAACCGUGGUGCAUUUGACUUGCAUGAACCCUGGUUAUCAAGAGGAUGAAGAGGUCCCUGAAAUGUCUCCGUUGGUUCUUCUUGGAGAUGGCCAUAAUGUUUCCCAGCCUGCCAUGGACGCAGAACAAGCCUUGCCCCUGCCAGACCCAUCCAUUGAAGGGCAAGUUUUGACUCUGGCAGACCCUUCCAGUGAAGGGCGACCUUCAUCCCUUCCAGAAGUUGUUGGAGAAGGACAAGCUUGGCUCCAGAUGGAGGCUGCUGGUGAAGGAGAAGCCAUGUCUCUGCCAGAGGAUGCUGAUGGAGCACAAGCUUCAUCCCUGACAGAGGAAAGAGAAGCCUAUGCCAUGCUGGAAUUCUUUGUGAAAAGAGGCAUUGAAUCUCCACUGGGGCCUAUUUCAGAAGAGGAGGAAGAAGACGACAAUGAUGAAGACGACAAUGAUGGCACAGACAUGUAGCCAAAGAUCCGUGGGGCUUUGAUAUACCCACUGAAGCAAGACGUCCCCAUUAGACAGCAAAGUUCAUUUUUAAUUUUUUUUUUAAAGACUAAGAUUGAUUUGAUGAUGCUUUUAAUUGUGUGUGUUCAUGGUUAGAUGCAUUUUGCUUUUAAAUAUUGCUUCUUGUUUGUUCCAUUUUGUAACCCUCACAUCUCUAUGGUAUACCAGACACUAGCAUGUCUUAAAUAUUAGACAUUUUCACACAAGCACCCCCAGUCUAUGCCGGAGUUUAGAGGAAGUUGUGUUGGCAAUGUGCCUCUACGGCAUUUGGUUUGUUUUAGCCCCACCAUCUCUGGAAAUCAGCAAAAGGGAUUAACCCUUUUGCAUUGUGGAUUGUUGCUGGUGCCAUCAAUGCAACUACUCAAUAUGAUGCAACCCCCCAAAGGAGACUUGAAGGAACCUCCAAGCAAGUAGAUGUUAUUGGAGCACAAUUUCCAUAAACCUCAUCAACACAACCCACUGUAGAAAAUGAUAGGUAUUACAGAACCCAUUGGGUAACAUAUUAAAUUAACUGUUAGUGCUGCAUCUAAACUUUUGUAAGGAGAGUGGGAGGUUAAGAACGUGAUGCAAGCAGAUACAAUGUAAACACAGACACCAAAACUUCUCCUUUAUGAGUACCAUUCGUUCUUCUUUGUAUCCAGUUUGUAACUGGAUGGAAAGACUAUUAAAUAGCCAAAGAACAGACUAUCCAUGGAACAAACCCAUCAAAUAUGAUUUAUUGAAUUUACACAUGAAUUAUACAAGCAAUGCUUUGUCUAUCUUUCCUCCUAGGAAAACAUAUGCAGGGCCAGCUGAUUUGCAAUUAAUUCAUUUAUGUGACUGUCAACUUCUAGUUUUAUCUGUAAGACCGGGGACUAUCUGCACACGCAACACGGAGUCCUUUGUCCCACCGCAAGACCUUUUAAGCUUGAGAAAUUGUAUGUAAGACUGAUUGUUUCAAUAUUCGAACACUGAUGACACUAAACCAUGAGCAAUGCAUCUUUCCUGGACUGCAAUGCUUUUGGCAUGCGAGAUGCUGUUUUUAGCCACCCACAUUUGUCAAAGGUAUGUUUCCAAAUUGUACGUGGAGUAAUGCUUCCAAAUUGUAUGUGUAUCAAAAGUCACUAAUAAAUGCUCGUCUGAUUUUAAACCUGGGUCUUGGCUAUAAAUGUGUUUAGCAUUGGGAGAAUCUAUUUCAAGUUUAAUCCAGAUUCAUAUGGCACUCUGGAUAUAGAAGGUCUAAGGUAAAGGUUUCCCCGGACGUUAAGUCCAGUCAUGUCUGACUCUGGGGGUUGGUGCUCAUUUCCAUUUCUAAGCUGAAGAGCUGGUGUUGUCCAUAGACACCUCCAAAGUCAUGUGGCCGGCAUGACUGCAUGGAGCGCCGUUACCUUCCUGCCAGAGCGGUACCUAUUGAUCUACUCACAUUUGCAUGUUUUCGAACGGCUAGGUUGGCAGGAGCUGGGGCUAACAGCGGGCGCUCAUUCCGCUCCCGGGAUUUGAACCUGGGACCUUUUGGUCCGCAAGUUCAGCACCUUAGCGCUUCAACAUACUGUGCCACCAGGGGCCCCAAGGGGACUA